CCGACCUCGAGGCUUUUGGGCUUCGCCUGACCUAGACUCAUAGGUCAAUUCUCUGAAUGAAGAACAGCAGAAGAUAUCUCCCCUAAAGAGGGCUACCCAAAUAUUUCAUCACCUAAGUGACUUAUCUUCAUACAGAAGAAAAAGCUGAUUCUUCAGGAAGUUGGUUGCUACUGGGGCUAAUAAUUCCCACAGUGAGCAGCAAGAAAAAGAGAGACAGCAUCUUGAACAGGGUCUUGACUGCAAUUUCCCUAUACACAUUUGCAUCUCCAGCCUGUAGCCACUCCUGGAUCAUGGGCACACAGAU